rnacentral:misc_RNA from 1 species
AAGUCGUAACAAGGUUUCCGUAGGUGAACCUGCGGAAGGAUCAUUAAAAAAAUGAGGUAUUUUAUACCUCUUGUAUUUAAAACCCAACUCUUUAAAAAUAUAUUUUUUUUUUAAAAAAAAAAACUUUCAACAAUGGAUCUCUUGGUUCUC